UGCUUCUGGCUUACAUCAUUAUUUUUAAGAGGAAACCGCCAUAUGAAAUAUAUAUCAGAAGAACUCUUUUGCCAUAUGGAAAUGCUUGGGAUACUAGACCUCUCAUUUACUGGAAUCAAGAUACUACCGCGUUCAAUCUCCUGUUUGACUAGGCUCCGAAUAUUGUUACUCAUGGGCUGUGAUCACCUGGAAGAAAUUCAGCACAUAGCUUCAUUGGCACAGUUAGAGGUCCUGGAUGCAUCUAGUUGUCGUUCCCUGAGGAGUAUAGAAUCUGGAUCAUUUGGCCAUAUGGGAAUGCUUGGGAUACUAGACCUCUCAUUUACUGGAAUCAAGAUACUACCGCGUUCAAUCUCCUGUUUGACUAGGCUCCGAAUAUUGUUACUCAUGGGCUGUGAUCACCUGGAAGAAAUUCAGCACAUAGCUUCAUUGGCACAGUUAGAGGUCCUGAAUGCAUCUAGUUGUCGUUCCCUGAGGAGUAUAGAAUCUGGAUCAUUUGACC
rnacentral:lncRNA from 1 species